AGAGUUUGAUCAUGGCUCAGAAUCAACGCUGGCGGCGCGCUUAACACAUGCAAGUCGCACGAGAAAGUGGAGCAAUCCAUGAGUAAAGUGGCGCACGGGUGAGUAACACGUGAAUAAUCUACCUCCGAGUGGGGAAUAACUGAGAGAAAUCUUAGCUAAUACCGCAUAACACUUACGAGUCAAAGCAGCAAUGCGCUUGGAGAGGAGUUCGCGGCCGAUUAGUUAGUUGGCGGGGUAAUGGCCCACCAAGACGAUGAUCGGUAUCCGGCCUGAGAGGGCGCACGGACACACUGGAACUGAAACACGGUCCAGACUCCUACGGGAGGCAGCAGUGGGGAAUUUUGCGCAAUGGGGGAAACCCUGACGCAGCAACGCCGCGUGGAGGAUGAAAUCCCUUGGGAUGUAAACUCCUUUCGAUAGGGAAGAUAAUGACGGUACCUAUAGAAGAAGCCCCGGCUAACUUCGUGCCAGCAGCCGCGGUAAUACGAGGGGGGCAAGCGUUGUUCGGAAUUAUUGGGCGUAAAGGGUGCGUAGGCGGUUUGACAAGUCUAAUGUGAAAUCUAUGGGCUCAACCCAUAGUCUGCAUUGGAAACUGUCGGGCUUGAGUAUGGGAGAGGUGAGUGGAAUUUCCGGUGUAGCGGUGAAAUGCGUAGAUAUCGGAAGGAACACCUGUGGCGAAAGCGGCUCACUGGACCAUUACUGACGCUGAUGCACGAAAGCUAGGGGAGCAAACAGGAUUAGAUACCCUAGUAGUCC
rnacentral:rRNA from 1 species